CCUACGGGAGGCUGCAGUGAGGAAUAUUGGUCAAUGGACGCAAGUCUGAACCAGCCAAGUAGCGUGCAGGAUGACGGCCCUCCGGGUUGUAAACUGCUUUUAGUUGGGAAUAAAAGGGGGCUCGUGAGCUCCGUAUUGUAUGUACUAUCAGAAAAAGGACCGGCUAAUUCCGUGCCAGCAGCCGCGGUAAUACGGAAGGUCCGGGGGUUAUCCGGAUUUUUUGGGUUUAAAGGGGGCGUAGGCCGGCUUUUAAGUCAGCUGUGAAAGUCCGCGGCUCAACCGUGGAAUUGCAGUUGAAACUGGAGGCCUUGAGUGCACACAGGGAUGCCGGAAUUCAUGGUGUAGCGGUGAAAUGCUUAGAUAUCAUGAAGAACCCCGAUCGCGAAGGCAAGUGUCCGGGGUGCAACUGACGCUGAGGCUCGAAAGUGCGGGUAUCAAACAGGAUUAGAUACCCCAGUAGUC
rnacentral:rRNA from 1 species